rnacentral:rRNA from 1 species
GACGAACGCUGGCGGCGUGCUUAACACAUGCAAGUCGAGCGGAAAGGCCCUUUCGGGGGUACUCGAGCGGCGAACGGGUGAGUAACACGUGAGUAAUCUGCCCUUCACUUGGGGAUAACCACCGGAAACGGUGGCUAAUACCCGAUACGACCAAUGCCUGCAUGGGUUGUUGGUGGAAAGUUUUUUCGGUGGAGGAUGUGCUCGCGGCCUAUCAGCUUGUUGGUGGGGUAAUGGCCUACCAAGGUUUCGACGGGUAGCCGGCCUGCGAGGGUGACCGGCCACACUGGGACUGAGACACGGCCCAGACUCCUACGGGAGGCAGCAGUGGGGAAUAUUGGACAAUGGGCGGAAGCCUGAUCCAGCAACGCCGCGUGAGGGAUGACGGCCUUCGGGUUGUAAACCUCUUUCAGCGGGGACGAAGCGCAAGUGACGGUACCCGCAGAAGAAGCACCGGCCAACUACGUGCCAGCAGCCGCAGUAAUAC